CAAUAGCGUAUAUUAAAGUUGUUGCGGUAAAAAAGCUCGUAGUUGGAUUUCUGUUGAGAGCGACCGGUCCAUACCAUGUAUGCGUAUCUGGCUUGCUCUCGGCAUCCUCUCGAUAGACGUUACUGCGCUUGAUUGCGUGGUGCGGAUCUCGGGACUUUUACUUUGAGGAAAUUAGAGUGUUCACGGCAGGCUUUCGCCAGAAUACAUUAGCAUGGAAUAAUACUAUAGGAUCUUGGUUCUAUUUUGUUGGUUUCUAGAAUUGAGAUAAUGAUUAAUAGGGACAAUUGGGGACAUUCGUAUCAACACGUCAGAGGUGGAAUUCUUGGAUUGUGUUGCGACGAACUACUGCGAAAGCAUUUGCCAAGGAUGUUUUCAUUGA
rnacentral:rRNA from 1 species